GUGUGGGAGGCGGGGCCUCGGAGAGGAAGGCGGGCCGCGGAGGAGACGCAUGGGCGUGGGCUUCUCGGGCUCUGUCCCCCUCUAGUGCUUUCUCCCCAGCUCUGCCCCUCUCUGUAGGGGCUCUCCCUGCCCCGGGAAGGAAUUUUCACCAUUAGUCUUUGAGAGACCAAUCGGGAGCCGAAAACCAGGAUUAUUAGGGGAAAAAGACCUGCCAGGCAGUCUCGCAAGGGGAGAACAGCAAGCCGUGCAGAGGUGUAAGCGGCUGCUAGCCCAGGGCGUGUUGCUUCAGAGGAUGCCCUUUUCUCUGAAGGAUCCAGAACCCUUCUCUUCUGCAGUUUAAGAUUCAAGGACAUUUACCAGUUCCCACUCGCCCGUCAAGCCAUCCAGCCCAUGUUCAAGAAAAACAACUUGAAAGGCAUACACACUCAAACAGGCUGGAGCAGCUGGGCUACUCACCGACAAGCCGAUCAGCGAGGCUGACAGGCUGCGAGGACACUCCAGC